rnacentral:rRNA from 1 species
CGCAGCGAAAUGCGAUAAGUAAUGUGAAUUGCAGAAUUCAGUGAAUCAUCGAAUCUUUGAACGCACAUUGCGCCCAUUAGUAUUCUAGUGGGCAUGCCUGUUCGAGCGUCAUUUCAACCCCUAAGCACAGCUUAUUGUUGGGAAUCUACGCCCUAGUAGUUCCUCAAAGACAUUGGCGGAGUGGCAGUAGUCCUCUGAGCGUAGUAAUUCUUUAUCUCGCUUUUGUUAGGUGCUGCCUCCCCGGCCGUAAAACCCCCAAUUUUUUCUGGUUGACCUCGGAUCAGGUAGGAAUACCCGCUGAACUUAAGCAUAUCAAUAAGCGGAGGAA